AUUUUUUUCUCAAAUAAUCCUAUAAAAAUUUGUAAUUCAAAAUUUCCUACAAAAAGCAUCACCAUCUUUUUCUUAAUAAAAUACACAAUGAAUGAUUUAUCAUUUUUUUCUAUUUUUCAUAAAUAAUCCUAACAAUCAUGUAAAAAUUUCAACAAAUCACAUAUAAUCUUACCAAUCUAAAAUAUCCUAAUAAUCCAUAUACAAUCCUAAAUAUUUCUCAUAUAUAAUCUUAACAAACAUAUAAAUAUUUCUANAUCAUUCACCGUCGUUUUCUUUUCCAUUAGAGAGGGUAAAUGAUUCACCGCUUUUCUCUAAAAGUAUAAAAGGUGAAUGAUUUAUCCUUUUUUUUAUUUCUCAUAUAUAAUCUUAACAAACAUAUAAAUAUUUCUACAAGCUAAUAAUUCCUAACUACCUACUGAUACAAUCUGAAUGAUAAAAAAAAUUUCUAAUAAUUAACGUAAAAUCCAACCUCACAAACAAAAAUCAUCACAAAUAAUUAAUACAAAAAAAAUAACAAUAUGAAAAC
rnacentral:lncRNA from 1 species